GCAAACUUGGUCAUUUAGAGGAAGUAAAAGUCGUAACAAGGUAACCGUAGGUGAACCUGCGGUUGGAUCAUUACUAAUUACUUUGACCUGAGGUUGAGCUCAUCUUUUUGAGAUCCCUCAGUGUCAUAAACAUUUUGUGCAUUUAUUGUGUAUUUGGGUUAUCUCUAUCUUUUUUAAACAAGAAAGUGAAAAGAUAGCCCAACAAUGAAAACAAACCAUUAUUCUUUUUGACUGAAUUAAAUUGAAAAAUUUACAAACAACUUUUGACAACGGAUCUCUUGGCUCUCGCAUCGAUGAAGAACGCAGC
rnacentral:misc_RNA from 1 species